rnacentral:rRNA from 1 species
UACGUAGGUGGCAGGCGUUGUCCGGAUUUAUUGGGUUUAAAGGGUGCGUAGGCGGCCUUGUAAGUCAGUGCUGAAAUAUCCCGGCUUAACCGGGAGGGUGGCAUUGAUACUGCAGGGCUUGAGUAAAGUUGAGGUUGGCGGAAUUGACGGUGUAGCGGUGAAAUGCUUAGAUAUCGUCAAGAACACCGAUAGUGAAGACAGCUAACUAAGCUUUAACUGACGCUGAGGCACGAAAGUGUGGGGAUCAAGCAGG